rnacentral:rRNA from 1 species
GACGAACGCUGGCGGCGUGCUUAACACAUGCAAGUCGAACGGGUCUGCCCUGUUUUUUGCGGGGUGGGUCAGUGGCGAACGGGUGAGUAACACGUGAGUAACCUGCCCCUCACUUCUGGAUAACCGCUUGAAAGGGUGGCUAAUACGGGGUGUUCUGGCUGUGCCGCAUGGUGUGGCUGGGAAAGAUUCACUUUUGUGGUGUUUUGGUGGGGGAUGGGCUCGCGGCCUAUCAGCUUGUUGGUGGGGUGAUGGCCUGCCAAGGCUUUGACGGGUAGCCGGCCUGAGAGGGUGGGCGGUCACACUGGGACGGAGAUACGGCCCAGACUCCUGCGGGAGGCAGCAGUGGGGGGUAUUGCACAAUGGGCGGAAGCCUGAUGCAGCGACGUCGCGUGAGGGAUGGAGGCCUUCGGGUUGUGAACCUCUUUCGCCGGUGAAGAAGGUCCUGCUCUUUGUGGUGGGGUUGACGGUAGCCGGGUUAUGAAGCGCCGGCUAACUACGUG